rnacentral:rRNA from 1 species
AGCGCCCCGCAAGGGGAGCGGCAGACGGGUGAGUAACACGUGGGGAUCUGCCCAAUGGUACGGAAUAGCUCCGGGAAACUGGAAAUAAUACCGUAUGUGCCCGCAAGGGGAAAGAUUUAUCGCCAUUGGAUGAACCCGCGUCGGAUUAGCUAGUUGGUGUGGUAAAGGCGCACCAAGGCGACGAUCCGUAGCUGGUCUGAGAGGAUGAUCAGCCACACUGGGACUGAGACACGGCCCAGACUCCUACGGGAGGCAGCAGUGGGGAAUAUUGGACAAUGGGCGCAAGCCUGAUCCAGCCAUGCCGCGUGAGUGAUGAAGGCCUUAGGGUUGUAAAGCUCUUUCGCCGACGAAGAUAAUGACGGUAGUCGGAGAAGAAGCCCCGGCUAACUUCGUGCCAGCAGCCGCGGUAAUACGAAGGGGGCUAGCGUUGUUCGGAAUCACUGGGCGUAAAGCGCACGUAGGCGGAUUGUUAAGUCAGAGGUGAAAGCCUGGAGCUCAACUCCAGAACUGCCUUUGAUACUGGCAAUCUCGAGUCCGGAAGAGGUAAGUGGAACUGCGAGUGUAGAGGUGAAAUUCGUAGAUAUUCGCAAGAACACCAGUGGCGAAGGCGGCUUACUGGUCCGGUACUGACGCUGAGGUGCGAAAGCGUGGGGAGCAAAAGGAUUAGAUACCCUGGUAGUCACGCCGUGAACGAU